rnacentral:ncRNA from 2 species
GCGACCACUGCAGGAGAGCGGGCGACGCGAGUCACCCCACCGAAGGCGCAAACUCCCAUGAACGCUCAGGUCCACCGGUUUCGAUGUCAUU